CACGGGAACAAGGGCAUCACUGACGGUAUGGCCUCUCAGGUCUGUUGACCCUCCCUCUGCCUCCCCGGUCCGGACUCAUACAACUUCGAAGUCCAGAGGUCGUCCAGUCUCAUCUUGACGUCAGAAUGACACAGCCAGUUAUCAAAAGAAAUCUCCAAGGAAUUCCCUGUAUGCUGAGGAAUGAAGGAUGUGAGAAAGAAAUUAACUGUCUUCUGCUCUCAAGUUAGACCCCUAAGAAAACUCUUAAGAGUAUCUAAUAACUAGAGGCAUCUGUCACACCAGCAAA